rnacentral:lncRNA from 1 species
ACGACGAGCAGUCAGAAUCGUCGUCCUUCUUCUUGUGGUCCUUCUUGUGGUGACGCUUCUGGUGCGACUUGGCGUGGUGCUUCUUCACCUUCUUGUCGUCGCAGUCGUCGUCCUUCUUGUGGUGCUUCUUCUUGUUGUGCGAGGCGCGCUUCUUGUCGUCCUUGUCGUCCUUGCACUCGCGGUGGUCGUCCUUGGCGUGACGCACGUGCUUGUCGGCGUGCGAGGCGUCCGACUUGGAAUAGUGGUGGUCCUUGGCCUUGCACGAGGCGCGCUUGGCGUCGCGGUGGUCGCGCUUCUUGUGGGCCUCGCGAUCGCGGUGCUUCUUGUCGUGCUUCUUGAGGUGCAGGUCCUUCUUGGACUUGUCGCGCUUGUGGUCCUUCUUGGCACACUCGCGCUUGUCCUUGCGGUAGCACCGCUCGUCCUCCGAGUUGUGGUCGUCCUCGCACCACUUCUUCUCGUAGAACUUGCGCACGUAGAACUUCUUGCGCUUGUGGUGGUUCUUGUCGCGGCGCUUGACGUCCUUCUCGUCCUUCUUGGCGCACUCGCGGCGGUCCUUGUCGUGGUGACGGUCGCACUCGGCCUUCUUGCGGUACUCGUCGUCCUUGCGGUACUCGUCCUCGCACUUUUUGCUGUCGCGCUUCUUCUCGUCCUUGCAGGCGUCGCGCUUCUUCAGGUGCUUGGACUCGCUCUCCGAGUGGGAGUCGGACGAGCACUUGUCAUACUUGUGGUAGGACUUGUCGUGCUUGUCCUUCUUCCGGUGGCGCUUGUGCUGGUCCUUGCACGAGCGGCUGCUCUCCGAGCAGUCCUUGUCCUCGUGCCGGCGGUGCUUCUUGUCGACGUGGAGGUCCGACGAGCACGAGUCCGACGACGACGAACACGACUCCUUGUCGUGCUUCUUGUUGUGCUUGCGAUGAUGGCGCGUCAUGGCGGGGGGAUGAUGCUGCUUUUUUGGUUUACUGAUGGAGCCGGGGGAUUGUUGGCGUGCGCGAACGGACGGAUGCACAGCGCGCCAAGGACACGCACACACAGACACACGCGCGUACGUGGAUCGUUGAGCAACAACAAGCACACCUAGACACACACACGCAGAGGGAGACAAAAGGGUGUUGGUGGCGGCGGCGGGCACGUACGGUGACAGAGGAGGCCGGGCUGGACGACGGCGACAACGAUGCGGUGGACGGACGGAUGGG